rnacentral:rRNA from 1 species
UACGAAGGGGGCUAGCGUUGCUCGGAAUCACUGGGCGUAAAGGGUGCGUAGGCGGGUCUUUAAGUCAGGGGUGAAAUCCUGGAGCUCAACUCCAGAACUGCCUUUGAUACUGGAGAUCUUGAGUUCGGGAGAGGUGAGUGGAACUGCGAGUGUAGAGGUGAAAUUCGUAGAUAUUCGCAAGAACACCGGUGGCGAAGGCGGCUCACUGGCCCGAUACUGACGCUGAUGCACGAAAGCGUGGGGAGCAAACAGG